GUUGCAGGUGUAGACCCGAAACCCGGUGAUCUAUCCAUGGGCAGGUUGAAGGUUGAGUAACAUCAACUGGAGGACCGAACCGACUUAUGUUGAAAAAUGAGCGGAUGACUUGUGGAUGGGGGUGAAAGGCCAAUCAAACCGGGAGAUAUCUGGUUCUCCUCGAAAGCUAUUUAGGUAGCGCCUCGAGCGAAUACCAUUGGGGGUAGAGCACUGUUAAGGCUAGGGGGUCAUCCCGACUUACCAACCCUUUGCAAACUCCGAAUACCAAUGAGUACUACUCGGGAGACACACGGCGGGUGCUAACGUCCGUCGUGGAAAGGGAAACAACCCAGACCAUCAGCUAAGGUCCCAAAGUUAUUGCUAAGUGGGAAACGAUGUGGGAAGGCUUAGACAGCUAGGAUGUUGGCUUAGAAGCAGCCAUCAUUUAAAGAAAGCGUAAUAGCUCACUAGUCGAGUCGGCCUGCGCGGAAGAUUUAACGGGGCUAAGCAAUACACCGAAGCUAUGGGUUUGCUAGUUUACUGGCAAGCGGUAGAGGAGCGUUCUGUAAGCCGUUGAAGGCGAAGGGGUAACCCACGCUGGAGGUAUCAGAAGUGCGAAUGCUGACAUGAGUAACGAUAAAGGGAGUGAAAAACUCCCUCGCCGAAAGACCAAGGUUUCCUGUCCAAUGUUAAUCAGGGCAGGGUAAGUCGACCCCUAAGGUGAGGCCGAAAGGCGUAAUCGAUGGGAAACAGGUUAAUAUUCCUGUACUUCUGCUAACUGCGAUGGAGAGACGGAGAAGGCUAGGCUAGCGCGGCGUUGGUUGUCCGCGUUUAAGGUUGUAGGUUGUAUUCUUAGGCAAAUCCGGGGAUACGCAUUAAAUUGCAAGACUGAGGACUGAUGACGAGACCCUAAGGGGUUGAAGUAGUUGAUGCCAUGCUUCCAGGAAAAUCUUCUAAGCUUCAGGUUAGUAGGAAUCGUACCCCAAACCGACACAGGUGGUUGGGUAGAGAAUACCAAGGCGCUUGAGAGACUCGGCUAAGAACUAGGCAAAUGGUACCGUACUUC
rfam:Shewanella benthica KT99 1099576005541, whole genome shotgun sequence.